CCUCUCGUAGCUUAGUGGUCAGACGAUUGGUUUGUAAAGUGAGAGGUCCCGGGUUCGAUUCCCGGCGAGGGUA
rnacentral:tRNA from 1 species